rnacentral:rRNA from 1 species
GACGAACGCUGGCGGCAUUCCUAAUACAUGCAAGUCGAACGCAGUGGGGACGGGUGAGUAACACGUGGGUAACCUCCCAUCAGAGGGGAUAACACUUGGAAACAGGUGCUAAACCGAUACUGAUGGAUGGACCCGCGGUGCAUUGGCUAGUUGGGGUGGUAACGGCUCACCAAGGCCACGAUGCAUAGCCGAGCUGAGCGGGUGAUAGGCCACACUGGGACUGAGACACGGCCCAUACUCCUCCGGGAGGCAGCAGUAGGGAAUCUUCGGCAAUGGACGAAAGUCUGACCUAGCAACGCCGCGUGAGUGAAGAAGGUUUUCGGAUCGUAAAACUCUGUUGUUAGAGAAGCGGUAUCUGACCAGAAAGCCACGGCUAACUACGUGCCAGCAGCCGCGGUAAUAC